rnacentral:rRNA from 1 species
CAGCCGCCGCGGGAAUACGGAGGGGGCUAGCGUUGUUCGGAAUUACUGGGCGUAAAGCGCACGUAGGCGGCUUGGUAAGUUAGAGGUGAAAGCCUGGAGCUCAACUCCAGAAUUGCCUUUAAGACUGCCGAGCUAGUAGGUGAGAGAGGUAAGUGGAAUUCCGAGUGUAGAGGUGAAAUUCGUAGAUAUUCGGAAGAACACCAGUGGCGAAGGCGGCUUACUGGCUCAUUCUAGACGCUGAGGUGCGAAAGCGUGGGGAGCAAACAGGAUUAGAUACCCCGGUAGUCCCUGUCUCUUAUAC